UUGGGUACCUCGUUUCUUGUGUGUGUGAGCGAGUGGUUGCUGUUUACGAUGUGUUCAUAUAUCGCUUUGUAGUGCUGUAAUGUGCAAAUUAGCGGACUUUAUAGCGGCUCUCUAUUUUCCGUCGUUGUCUUUCGAGCAGCGCCUGUUGUUCCGGUAAAAAUCGAGUUGAAUGAAUCGCCACAGCCCCAACGUAUAUCGCGCAGUGUUGACCAAGUCCAGCAGGAAUUCUGGCAUGGUAUGUGGCUGCACGAAGGAUUCCGAAAAAGAAAAACAACAUGGCUAAUAGGAUGUUGCUGCCCAGGGAGUCCUGGCGAAGAGGUUUACUCAUUCCAGAAGCAAGAAUUGUAUCAUUGUAAGGCGAAUGGAAAUAAACUGACAUCGACUGAGAUAGGUGCUCUGUCAUGGCCAAUGACUGUAGGAUGGCUCCAAAAGCGUCACAACAAAGCCAAUAUUCAUCUAGCUCUCUACAAGUAGCUAACUCCACAUAGUAGCCUA